rnacentral:tRNA from 1 species
GAGGGUAUAGCUCAGUGGUAAGAGUGUGUGCUUAGCAUGCGCAAGGUCCUGGGUUCAAGGCCCAGUACCUCCA